ensembl:processed_transcript 4930412C18Rik RIKEN cDNA 4930412C18 gene
CCAGUGCGCAGAGGUUUUAACAGUGACUUCCCGGGCUGUCUGAGCAUCGCGUGGGCGGGCAUCCUCAAGGGACCUGCGCAGAGUCUGGACAUUACUCUCAGGCCAACGAGGGAGAACAUGCAGAAGAGAAACCGAGUCGGUGGAUGUGGGCGAGAAGAAACCUGACAACUCACCUGUUUCCAGAAGAGUCAGUUGAGCCAAGAUGGAAGUGAGGGGCUUGUCAGAACCUGCCCACUCCCCAAGAGUAGCUGAAUUGUUCAGUGGGAGCAUCUGGCACUGCCACUUGGAACUGGUUUGAAAUAUAUCCCUGGGAAGCCCUGAAAGCUACUCUGAUGUCGCUGAACUCAUGCCCUCAGAAUCAACCUCCAGGAGACCACACAAGUUCCUCCCGGAAGAAGUGGUCAUUCAAAUCCUGCCUCUGACUGUGACAGAUCUGUCUGCUUCCAAUCACAGACUCUCUCAUCUAUACCAUCUAACACAGGCUCCAAGCCCAGGGAAUGUCACUGCCCAUAGCUACAGUGUCUCUUCUCAUCUCAAUGAACUAAUAAAGAUAGUGUCUCACAGGCUCAGCCAGAAACUAAUCUCACUCAGACGGCCUUCAUAGAUGUUCUCGUAGGUCUGACUACUAAGUCGUUCUAGACGCCAUCCUCUUGACAAUUGAUACUGAUGAUCACACUGUGGGUAAAGAUCUAAGCUCAGUUUCUGAGACAUCAGAAGGAUGGGGGAGACACUACUGUGACUGACAAGCAGCCUCGGGAAAAGAGUCAGUUCAGCUGGAUGAAGACUACAGGGAUGAUAUUGCUACCUACAGAGGAAGACCUGAUGCAGUAUCAAAGGAGAUGUCAAGAUGGAAAUGAGCAAGAAAAAGAAGGAACAGGAAGGGGCUGAGGAAGGUGAAGAGGAACAAGAUGAUGGCAAUGAUUAAGUUCUUACACAGUUUUUCUCCUUGUCUAUGAAGCAUUUAAAUCUCCUUAUAACUCCCUUCUUUUAAGGAAAAAAACUGAAGUGCAAGGUUGUAUAGAUUUGUUUUUAAAGUGUAUAGUGUCUGGUUUUUGUGUAGUUAACACUACUGAGUGUCUUUAGAUAGCUCUGUCCUGAUGGUGCCUCAGAAAUGGUAUGUUGUUGGUGCACAGCACAUGUUAUUUACAUGUAGAGAUGGUAUCCUCAUUCCUCUUUCUGUUCUCUGGUCUUGUUCAUAUGAAAAUAAUUCUUCUGUGAACCGAGUAUCACUUUGUAAUUAGAAAAGUGAACUGCUGCUAUCUCAUAGGCAUUCUCAAGGUUUUUAAAUAAAUACACAUUUUUAUUAGAAGAAAAGAAAAUGUGGUAUGUCUGUACAAGAGGGCGUUAUUCAACUGCAGAGAACAAAUAUCAGAUGUUUUUCUCACAUGUGGUAGGAAGAUCUUGGGAGAAGAGAGUGGGUGCAGUUGACCACAGGACAGGGACGAGAGAUGGGCUGAAUAUAACUGAUGUACAUUGCCUAUGCAUAAAAAUAUAACAGAGCCAAUUAUCUUAUACAGAUAUAUGCUAAUUUAAAAGAAAAGUACACCACUUAUUUAUCUUCAAAUCAUUGGCAUCAUAAUAGAUUAGAAAAAGGGAAUUCUUUUUCCAAGGGCUUUUUGGGGUGUGGUGUCUACUGGGAAUACCUAGAAGCCAUCUCCACAGAGGGGGAGAACUGGAGGAUCAUGGGAGAAAGAAGUCUCUGGAGUGUGUCACAGGAGACAGACGUCUCUGGAGUGUGUCACAGGAGACAGACAUCUCUGGAGUUUUGUGGAGGUUGGACUGAGGAAGGAGACAAGUAGUCAAGAUGUGGAAAGGCCACAGAAACACUGCUUGUUUUAAUCCAUGAGGUGCAAGGUGAAUAGGAGAAGCCUAGAGACAUAGGUGCAACUUGGACAGGGAUUGCUGCUGUCCUCUUUCAGAGAAGUGAAGACAACUGAGCUGGGCUCCCAUCUCCUCUUGACACAUGGAGUCUAUGGCAGCUUGCUGCAGGCACAGGAGGGCUAACAAGUCCUGGGAAGUUUUCUAUUUCCAUCCUGCAGUGUCUCUUGGAUGGGAAACUUCACAAAGCUGGCAUUUCUGCAGGACUGAACUUUAGUCCUUUUGAUUAAUCGCUAUCUAUCUCUGCAGUUACCCCACUCUUCGUAUCCAUAAAUGGGAUUAAUACUCAUAAUACCCACAAAACAUAUGAGUAUAAGGCUCAAAUGAGUUAUAGGACAAGCCUUUGAAUGGUACCUGAUAGCCAAUAAUCACUAAAUACAAAUUGUUAAUUAAGGUUCAUAAUUAACAUAUGAUGGGUAAUCUUGGUUGUUAACUUGACUCAGCAGAUAAGGGGGCACCGCAGUUGAGUUUGGGCUACAUAAGAAAUGUAACUGAUCCUGAGCCUGGGAGCAGCUAACACGCAGCCUUCUUCCAUGGUUUCUGCUGCUGCUCCUCCCUAAGUGCCUGCUCUGUCUGCUCACAGUGAUGGAUUGUGACCUGGAAGUUUAAGCCAAAUAAACCCUUUUCCUCCCAAG